rnacentral:misc_RNA from 1 species
UUCGGUAUCCUGUGUUGCUUACCUAUCGAAAGGAAUCCGAUGGUUUCGUUAGUCCCUUUCCGCCCCUGCCCUCGCGGGUUUUGGGGUGGACAUCAGGCAAGCCUCGUGUUCCCGGCACGCUUCGCCCAGCUGCGUCGCUGCCUCGGCCCAUGAGGUGCAUUGCCCGUGCUCUCGGAUGCAGAACGUUAUGUGCGGGUGCGGGGUCUAUUUAUUAGCUCCGUUUGCCCAAGCAACGCAUUUGUCUCACGACACGAACGACUGCCGUGCCCGUCUUGAGCCCGCGGCCGUACGGCCUGCCGGGUCUCAUGCGGGCGUCGG